UCAAGAACCAGGGACGAAGACCCUACACGGGUACCAUAUGCUGCCAUCUUUAAAAAUCCUCGGACCCAGGGAGAGAGAUAAGUGUUGCUGUGAGUAGAUGGAUCCUUCGGCCUUCCUACUUCACUAUUUUCACUGAUUGCACUCUGUUUGAGAUUUGUUCUACACUCCAGUAUACGAUCUAUCUUGGCAAGUGUUCCACGAGCUUGGGGGAAAAAUGUAUUCUCCAGAGUUUGACUCUUUUCAUCGAGAAUAAUCUGGCGCCCAAACACAUGGAGCCUCAGAGAAGAAUCAGGACCCCAGAGGAGUUGCUUGAAAUGGGAGCUAAGGUCUUACAGAUGCAACUCCCUGCUGGGAACCCAAACCCGUUUCACCAGAAAAGUGAAAGCAUAAGGAAGGAAAUGGGCAUCUGCAAAGAAUCCAAGCAAGAGAAGGAGCAACCGGCUUGUGAACUCACUCCCUUAAGACAGCAUUAAUGUAUUCAAGGGGAUCUGCCCUGUGAUCCAAACACCGCCUACUAGGUCUCACUUCCCAACACUGCCACAUUGGGAAUCAAAUUUCAACAUGCGUUUUGUCAGCGACAAAUCACUUCCAAGCCAUAGCAACCACGUACCCACAAAUAAGAGUCGUAAUCUAUUAGGGUUUUUCUUAAGUUGAUCAUUUUUUCUGUAUAUAAAGUGACACAUUUCAGAAUAAAUUAGUAUGAUUUAAUCCUGUCUCAGUGACUAUUCUUUCUUUUAUCAAAAUGGUUUAUUAUGAUAAAUGUAGUGGUCAUAUUUCAAAUGCAUUGUUUACCUUUGCAUACACUGUAUAUAUAGAAUCCUCAAAAACAUAUGGUAUUAUGAAAUUUUUAUAUUUGCAUGUGCAAUAUCAUAUAACAUUAUUAUACAGUGUGCUUUUACCACUCAAAAUUAUGUUUCUGAGUUCUACAUCUAUCUAUAUCUAUGUAUGUAAAGAUUGACCUAUAUGUGAUAUUGUUCUACAAAUAGAAUUUUUCUAUUUUCAGUAAUUUAUUAUUAUGAACAUCAUGCUAUAAACAUUCAUAUGCCUUUCUACUUCUAUAAAGUUGCAAGAACUUCUCUGUCAUUUACUCAGAAGUAGUGUUUCUGGUCUUUAUAGUAACUUUUAUUUUUUAUUUAUUUUUUUAUUUCCAUAGUUUUGGGGGUACAGGUGGUUUUUGGUUACAUGGAUGAGUUCUACAGUGGUGAAUUCUGAGAUUUUAAUGAACCCAUCACCCAAGCAGUGUACACUGUACCAAAUAUGUAAUCUUUUAUUUCUCACUCCCCUCUCAACCUCUGACCUUGAGGCCCCAAAGUCCAUUAUAUAAUUCUGUGUGUCUUGGACUCAUCAAAGCUUAGCUUCCACUUAUAAAUGAGAACAUAUGGUAUUUGGUUUUCCACUCCUGAGUUACUUCACUUCAAAUAAUGGCCCCAGCUCCAUUCAACUUGCAGCAAAUAUUUCAUUCCUUUUUAUGGCUGAGUAGUAUUCCAUGGUGUAUAUACACUACAUUUUCUUUAUUGAUCACUCAUUGGUCAGUGGGCACUUAGGUUGAUUCCAUAUCUUUGCAAUUGCUAAUUGUGCUGCUAUAAACGUGUGUGCAUGUGUUCUUUUCAUACAAUGACUUCUUUUCCUUUGGAUAGAUACCCAGUAUUGAGAUUUCUAGAUCAAAUGAAAGUUCUACUUUUAGUUCUUUAAGGAAUCUCCAUACUGUUUUCCAUAGUGGUUGUACUCAUUUACAUUCCCACAAGAAGUAUAACAGUUCUUCCUUUUCGCCAAAUCCAACAAAUAUCUAUUGUUUUUGACUUUUCAACUGUGGUCAUUUUUGCAAGAUUAAGGUGAUAUUUCAUUGUGGUUUUAAUUUGUAUUUCCAUGAUAAUAAGUGAUGUUGAGCACACUAAUGUGUUUGUGUAUCUUUAUCUUCUUUGGAUAAAUGUUUGUAUAUCUUCUUUGGAGAAAUGCCUGUUCACAUCCUUUACCCACUUUUUGAUAGGAUUAUUUGCUUUUUUUCUUUUGAUUUGUUUGAGUUCCUUAUAGAUUCUGGAUACUAGUCCUUUGUCAUAUGCAUAGUUUGCAAAUAUGUUCUCUCAUUCUGUGGGUUUUCUGUUUACUCUGCAUAGCAAAAUAAAUAUUUUUUUUCUAUGCAGCAGGUUUAUAGUUUAAUUACGUCCCAUUUAUUUAUUUUUGUUUGUGUUGAAUUUGCUUUUGGGGUCCUAGUCAUUAAUUAUUUGCCUAGGCCAAUGUUCCAAAGAGUUUUUUCAAAGUUAUCUUCUACAAUUUCUAUGGUUUCAGGUCUUAGAUUUAAGUCAUUGAUACACCUUCAGUUGAUUUUGUAUAAGGGAAAAGAUGAGGAUCCAGUUUAAUUCUUCCACUAGUGGCUUGCCAGUUACCCAGCCCCAUUUCUUAAAUAGGGUUUCUUUUCCCCCGUUUAUGUUUUUGUAUGCUUUGUUGAAGAACAGUUGGCUGUAAGUAUUUGGCUUUGUUUCUGGGUUCUCUUUUCUGUUCCAUUGGUCUAAGUGCCUGUUUUUACACCAGUGUAAUACUGUUUUGAUAACUGUAACUUUGUAGCAUAAUUUGAAUUCCAGUAAUGUCAUGCCUCAAGAUGUGUUAUUUUUGCUUAGAUUACUUUGGCUAUUGGGGCACUUUUUUAGUUCCAUAUGAAUAUUAGAAUUGUUUCUUCUACUUCUGUGAAAAAUGGUGAUAGGAUUUUGAUGGGAAUUGCAUUGAAUCUGUAGAUUUCUUUGGGGAUAGUGGUGAUUUUUGCAAUAUUAAUUCUUCCCAUCCAUAAGCAUGGGAUGUGUUUCCAUUUAUUUGUUUGUGCCAUCUAUGAUUUAUUUCAGUAGCGUUUUGCAGUUUUCCUUGUAGAGAACUUUCACUUCCUUGGAUAAGUAUAUUCCUAGGUAUUUGUGUUUUUUUGCAGCUUUUGUAAAGGCGAUUGAGUUCUUUAUUUGAUUAUCAGCUUGGUUGUUGUUGGUGUAUAGCAGUACUACUGAUUUGUGUACACUAAUUUUGUAACCUGAGACUUUAUUGAAUAUGUUUAUCAAAUCUAGGAGCUAUUUGGAUGAGUCUUUAGGGUUUUCUAGGUAUGUAAUCAUAUCAUCAAAGGACAGUGACAGUGUGACUUCCUCUUUUUUAAUUUUGAUGCCCUUUAUUUCUUUCUCUUGCAUUAUUUCUCUUCCAGUGCUAUGUUGAAUAGAAGUCAUGAAAGUGGGCAUCCUAUUCUUUUUCCAGUUUUCAGGGGGAAUGCUGUAAACUUUUAUUCAGUCAAUACGAUGUUGGCUGUGGAUUUGUUAUAUACAGUUUUUAGUACUUUGAGGUAAGUCCCUUCUAUGCCUACUUUGUUGAGAGCUUUUACCACAAAGGGAUACUGGAUUUUAUCUACUGCUGUUUCUGUGUCUAUUGAGAUAAUUAUAUGGUUUUUUGUUUUUAAUUUUGUUUAUAUGAUGUCUAGUUUCCUUUUUGUUAUGUCCUUUCCUGGUUUUGAUGUUAGGGUGAAACUGGCUUCAUAGAAUUCUUUAGGGAGAGUUCCUUAUUUCUGUAUCUUUUGGAAUAGUUUCAGUAGGCUUGCUACCAAUUCUUCCUUGAAUGUCUGGUAGACUUCAGCUGUGAAUCAACCUGGUUGUAGACAUUUUUUUUCCUUGGCAGUUUUUUUAUUACUGAUUCAAUCUCACUGCUUGUUAUUGUUCUGUUCAGGAUUUCUAUUUUUUCCUGGUUUAAUGUAGGAGGAUUAGAUGCUUCCAAGAAUUAAUUCAUUUCAUCUAGAUAUUCUAGUUUGUGCUUUUAAAGGUGUUCAUUGUAGCCUUGAAUAAUCUUUUGUAUUUCUGUGGCAUCAGUUGUAAUGUCUCUAGUUUCAUUUCUAAUUGAGCUUAUUUGAAUCUUAUCUCUUCUUUUCUUGGUUAAUCUCCCUAAAGGUCCAACACUUUCUUUUAUGUUUUCAACAAACCAGUUUUUUUGUGUGUCAUUUAUCUUUUGUAUUUUUCCAGUUUCCCUUUCAUUUAAUUCUGCUCUGAUCUUUGUGAUUUUUUUUUUUCUUCUCCUGGCUUUCAGUUUAAUUUGCUCCUGUUUCUGUAGUUCCUUGAAGCGUGACAAGAGGCUACCAUUUGUGCUGUUUCAGACUUUUGGAUAUAGGCAUUUAAUGCUAUAAAAUUUCCUCUUAGCGUUGCUUUUGCUGUAUCCUGGAGGAUUUGAUAACUUGUGUCACUAUUAUCGUUCAUUUCAAAGAAUUUUCUAAAUUACUAUCUUGAUUCCAUUGUUAAUCCAAAAAUCAUUCAAGAGCAGAUUAUUUAAUUUCCAUGUAUUUGUAUAAUUUUGAGGGUUCCUUUUGAAGUUGAGUUCCAGUUUUAUUUCCCUGUGGUCUGGGAAAGUACUUGAUAUAUCAAUUUCAAUUACCUUAAAUUUAUUAAAACUUAUUUUGUGGCCUAUAAUAUGGUCCUAUCUUGGAGAAUGUUCCAAGUGCCGAUGAGAAUGUAUAUUCUACAAUUCUUGGGAAGAAUUUCUGUAAAUAUCUGUUAAGUCCAUUUGUUCUAGGGUAUAAUUUAAGUCCAUUGGUUCUUUGUUGACUUUCUGUCUUUAUGAUCUGUCUAGUGCUGUCAAUGGAGUAUUAAAGUCCCCCACUAUUAUUUUUUUGCUGUCUGUCUCAUUUCUUUGGUCUAGUAAUAAUCUUAUUAAAAAUCUGGGAGCUUUAGUGUGAGGUGCAUAUAAAUUUAGGAUUGUAAUAUCUUCUUGUUGGACUGAUUCUUUUAUCAUUAUAUAAUACCCUUCUUUGUCUUUUUAUACUGCUAUUUCUUUAAAGUCUGUUUUGUCUGAUGUAAGCAUAGCUUCUCCUACUUAAUUUUUAUUUGUGUUUGUAUAGAAUAUCUUUUUCUAUUCUUUUGCCUUGAGUUUAUAGAAAUCCCUAUGUGUUAAGUGAGUCUCUUGAAGAAAGAGGAAAUUUGGUAUGUGAUUUUUAAAAAUCCAUUCUGCCAUUCUGUAUCUUUUAAGUGGAGUAUUUAGACCAUUUAUAUUCAAUGUUAAUAUUGAGAUGUGAGAUACUGUUAGAUUCAUCAUGUUAGUUGUUACCUACUUUGUGUUUUUUUUUCAUUGUGCUAUUAUUUUAUAGACCCUGUGAAUUUUAUACUUUUAGAAGGUUCUAUUUGGUUUAUAUUGAGUUUUUGUUUCAGGAUUUAGACUCAUUUUAACAUUUCUUGUAGAGUUGGUUUGGUAGGGGCAAAUUCCCUCAGCAUUUGUUUGUCUGAAAGAUCUUUCUUGCUGCUGCUUCAACUUUUAUAUUUCUCACUGCUCCCUCAAUCAGUUCUAGCCCUGGGUAGGGUUAAGGUCUUCUCCCUUGGCCUGAAUUCUUAGGUUCCCUGAUGGAAAUGUAUAUCCUAAAGGCAGUCUCUCUCCCUCUCACACUCUGAGGACUUAUAGAUUUUUGCCUGUCUCAUGGAGUAAGCUGCAGCCUGGCGCUGCCUUCAAAAGGUCUGUGGAUUCUUUUUUUUUUUUUUUUUUUCUGUUAAGUUCUUGCAUUGAAUCUUAUACUGUGAAUCUCUACACACUAUUUUGUCUGUCCAAGUGAGAGAGGCAUGCUAACACUGCCUGCAAUCUGCCAUCCUGGAAAAAAAACAAAACCAAAAGCUUUACAUUAAAAAUGAAUCCUACCAAAAAUAUCUCUAAGGUGGUUGUCAAAAAUUUGUAUUUUCUUCAUUAAUCCACAUGCUUGCCAAAAUUAAUAUAAGCAAAUAAUUUAUUAUUUGAAACACUGAUGAUAUUGUCUUGUGUAUUUUAACUUUUUUCAUAUAUAAUAUCUAAUAUACAUAUAAUAAAAUGUGUAUGUCAAAAUCAUAGUUUGCUUAAUUUGCACAAAUUGAACACACGUGUGCAACCAACAAUCGUAACUCAGAUUAGGAAAUAAAAUUCUACCACUAUUUCAAUUACCACCUCAUGCUCCCUUCCAGACACUACCUAUCUCAAAUGUCACCAUAGUCCUAGUUUCAAGUAAAUUUAUUUUACCUAAAUCAUUCUUUAGAUAAAUUGUGGCUUACAGUCAAUAUUCUAUUGUGUCUGACUUCUUCUGCUUAGCAUUUUGUUAGUGAGAUUAAUCUUCAUAGUUGUACACAGAUAAUGUAUUCUAAGUUUUGGUAGUCAUGUUUUACAGCAUUUCAUUGUAUCUAUAUACCCUAUUUUAUUUAUACAUUCAAAUUUGAUGGGAAUAAAGUAUAUUUUGGGGAAGUGAGUGCUAUUAUAAAUAGUAUAGCUAUAAGCUUUUUAGUAAAUAUAAUUUAAUUAACAAGUGUAUUAAUUCAUUUUGUGUAUAUAUCUUCAAAUGCACUUAGGGGGCCACAGGAUACACAUAUGUUCAAUUUUAGAAGAUAACGAAAAAUAUUUUUCCAGAAUCAUUGUUCAAAUGUAUACUCUCACCAGCGGUGUAUAAAAUAUUGGAUGUACAUAUCCCGGACAAAACUUGGAAUUGUCAUUCAUUUUCAUUUUAGCCAUUCUUGUUUGUGAAAAUUUAUAUCAUUUCACUGGUGGUUGAUGGAGUUAAACAUCUUUUAAAAAGAUGCUUAUUGUCCAUUUAAAUAUGCUUUAAUGUGAAAUACUCAUUUCUUCUUGCUGCUUUUUGGAUCAUUUAGCAUUUUCUUGUUCAUUUGUUGUAUAAAAUAAAUCGAUAUAAGUACAGUGACGAUCUUUCAUUAAUUAGUAGCUUGUCUUUUUCUUCCUUAACUGUAAUUCUUGAAGAACAAGUGUUCUCAAUUUUAUUAUAGCCUGUGUUUUCCUAUAACAAAUUGUGCUUAGUGAAACAUGUUUUAAAACUAUCUAUCCCACAUUAUUAUCAUAAAUCUAUUUUUCUAUAGCCCCCUCUAAAAUAUUUAUUGUUUUAAUUUUAUAAUUAUAUGUGCAAUCAUUUUGAAUAUAAUCAAUAAUAUAACUUAGAAUAUAUGAAAUAAACAUUGAUGGAAAUAAAUUAAAUACAGACAUUCCAUAAUUCUGGUGGUGGGACUUCAACACAUUUUCCUCAACAGCUAAUAUUACCAGUCAAAAUAUCAGUGUGGCUGUAAAAUGUGUGAACAAAACAAUCAUUAAAUUUGACCUAAUAGGCAUUUAUGGAACACUUUGCAUAAUUACAUUCUUUUCAAUUGUUUAUGCAACAUUUACGACAUUGACUUAUAAAGAAAAUGACCAAUUUCAAAAUAUUAAAAUCCUUUGUGUUUUUUCAGAACUUAAACAAAAAUCGGAUUUAAGCUAAAAAUAAACAAGUAGAUAACCAGAAAAAAAUCCAAUUUGCAGAGUAAAAUGUAUACACUGCUAAAUAAUUAUAAAGUUAAAUAACCAUAUACAAAUUUUAAAAAUAUUUGAACAUAAUGAUAAUAUGGCAGCCACGGCAUAUUCUCUCUUGUAUGAUGCAGCUAUCAUAAUACUUAGAAAUAAUUUGAUAGCCUUAAACAUAUAUACUAGAGAAGAAAAAUCAGAAGAAAAUUAAUGACUUAAUUUUCCAUUUCAAAAAGUUAGAAGAAUAACCGGAAAAUCAAAUCUGAAGGACAAAGAAGAAAUAAUCCAACCUAGAACAAGAGUCAAUGAAAUAGAAAACAAACAUAAAAUAGAGCAAAUCAAGAAAGCUAACCAUAGUCCGUCUAAAAAGAUUUAUUAAAUUAAUAAAUUUAUAGCAAGAUGAUAGAGACUAAAUAGAGAUGUUUCCAAAAUCAGAUGUUUCCAAUUCUUCCAAAAAAGAAUAAUACCAAACAAGAGUAUCAUCCCAAAUCUUCCUGACAAACUUAAAGUAACAAGUGAACAUUGUGAGCAACUAAACAUUACAUUUGAUAGUUUGAAUAAAGUAGAUUAAUUCUCCAAAUAAUUACCCUACUGAAGACUACUGGAGAAGAAAUAUAAGACAUGAAGGCUCUGAUAUCAUUAAAAUAUUAUAAAGACAUUUUUUAAAAACCUUUCAAUACAGAAAGACCAAAGAUAUGAUGGACCCAGUGGUGAAUUUUUCUUAAACAUGUUUUCCUUUAAGAAAUUAAGGAACAAAUAAAGUUAAUCUUACACAAGUCAUUUUAGGGAGUAGAAAAUGAGUGGAAAUUUACACUUGGAGACUACUGAAUCCCUGCUUCUAUAACUGUGACUGAAACUUGGCCACGUAAUUAAUAUCAAAACAUUUCUCCUAUUUUUGAAAAAUUGACUUAAAAUUAUAUCUCACAUAAUUGUAAUUUUGACUACAACUCUAACUAAAUUAUCUUUGUUAUUCCCAUUAUUAUUCUCAUUUCUUUUUUAAUUGAUCACAGUUUUGUUUUAUUUUAUAUUUGUUUCUAAAGCAACAACAUACAUAAAAGCAACAAGGAAAUUAUAACUAUUUUGAGAGUGUCUGAAAUCACUCGGGUGAUUUUCAAGAAUGAAUACUUUAGUCUGGAAAAGAAGUAAGAAAACCUAAACUUGCAAAGGACAUUGCUUGCAGGGCACUCUAACAACCAAAAACCGUGGUGUAGAAGUUCACCUGCCCAGAAUGUAAUACUAGUCCCUACUCAACUUCCAGAUACUCAGUUUCGAUCUAUAAAAUGUAAGAAAUGGUAUUGCAUUCCUCAAAGAAUUGUUUUUGAAGAAUUAUGAGAUGAUUAUAAAUUCCUCAGAACAGUGCAUGACUUUGGUAUGCGCUUAGUAUCAGACAUUAUUUAUUAUUGAUAACUCAUGAGUGAAUGAUAAGACAGGGUGUAAAAAGAGGUAGUUUUAAGUGCAGGGUAAGUGUAUGUGCAAACAGCUGCAGAAAGAUCUCUUUAUGAAGGGCAAUGUGGGAGAGUUCAUCCAUUUAAGGAGUUCUAGGUGUGGUUUCUGUGGAAUAUAGAUUGCUUACAAGUGAGGCUUUGAAAGCUUGGGCAAUGACUGGCUUUAGGGACAAAAGACUAUCUUAUUUUUGUAAGCAAUGUAUUGAGGGUAAUGUCCUGUGUGAGUCUGAGUACCUCUACCAUGUAGCCUUGUAGGGUAGCUUAAGGACUAUGAGACUGAGGAAGGUCAAUGCUGAGUGAACAUUCAUGACAUGGGACAAAGAGAACAAGAAGAUGCCUUAAGACUGGAUCCUUUAUGAAUAUUUGUUUUUCUGUUUCUUCCACUUUUUUAUAAAGAUGGAAUGGAAGGAUUGACCUGAAUUCCUCCAUUUGAGAAAGAAUAACACUGAUCUUGCAAAAUAAUUGUAUAGAGAUACAUAACAAGAUGACAAGUUUAUACACAAAAUUGCAAAAAAGCUGCAGCUUCUUCAGUUUCUAUGUUAAGCCUCUUGAGCUUCAAGGCACCAGGGGUUGUGGGAGAACAUUUAACUUACCAACGAACUUACUCUAGUCUCUGGGUUUUAAAACAAUCUCUAUUUCUCUGGUCUAUGAGCCUGUCUCCUUUGGAGAACUUCUUGUUUUUAUUCUGUUUCUGGUUUGUUUUGUUUGGGUUUUAAGGUGCGUGUAAAUAAUAGGAGGCUUGCCUGGUUUUGUUUGUACCUAGAGAGUAAUGUUAAUAUUUCAACACUGGUCUUUGCUUUAUCUUCUGUGCAGUGAUGACUCCCUACAGUGAGAUGAAUAGUCUGGCCAGGUCUGUAGAAUGAAUACCUGGAAAAGAAGAAAAGCGCAUGAACAUUUUUUUAUUGAUGUAUUUUUCUUGUUUUGAAUAUGAGCAAGAGGAUUUUAAGGGCAAACAGAGUGCCAGGAAUUCCCUACAAAGUUUCCAUCAGGAAUUUAAUUCUUUGAAGGAAAAAGAGCACUGAUGGAAGGAGAAUCCUUACUGAAAAAAAUUCAGUGGCACAUAUUGAAAAAAAAUAAUAAGCAUGUAAGGGAGCAUAUUGGCUAUGGCUGUUUGAUACCUUGGCCCAAAGCAAGAGGACAAGAUAUUUAUAUUUCAUUCAUCUUCAUUUGCUUUAAAUUGAGGUCCAAUUUACAAUAUGUAAAAUUAAUUAUUAAUUAUUUUAACACAUAAAAUUAAGUGUCAUUUGGUUCAUUCACAAGAUUGUGGAGCGUCUAUCUGCUUCCAAGACAGUCUCAUCACCCCAAAACGUUUUGAAAGUGGGCAAACUCCUACUCUUAAGGAUUGUUGUUUGCAGGCCAGGCACAAUGCCUCACACCUGCAAUCCCAGCAGUGUGAAUGGCUGAAGCAGGAGGACGCUUGAGCCCAGGAGUCUGAGACCAGCCUGGGCGACAUAACAAGACCCCAUCUCAAAAAGAAGAAGAAAAAAAAACUAUAAAAAGGAUUCCUGUUUGCUAAUGGGAUCGCACUUUUUGGUUCUGAUUAUGACAGUGGCAUAAUUGAAGUCGCUUUUUAUCUGACCAAUGUUAGCAGCGAAGAGCACAGUGUACUCGCCACUCUCCUCAUUCACUCUUCAGGCCGCAUAGUCUCACAUUCCUUUGGGAAAGUUGUUCUCAUUACCGCCAUCUUGACACUGUCUGUUCUGUGCAAGCAAAACUGUAAAUGUCUUUAGAGUAAUUUGUAAUCUAGAAAAUAAAAUGAAUUAUUGGUCUUCCAGCUUUGUCUACUGUUUAUUGAGUUUAUUUUAAUACCUCUUCUCUGCUUCCAUUAUACCUCUGCUUGAACCUUAAGGCUCCUACGUAUUAGGUCACCAAUUUUAUACAUAUACUAUGUAUUAGGUCACCACUUUUGUACACUUUUAUAUACAGCAUUUAGUCUCAUGCUUUGUAUACUAAAGAGAACAGUACACAUAAAUACGA
rnacentral:lncRNA from 10 species